CUUCGAGUUUGUCUAGGUUAUUAAUUCCUUGCAUUAGGCUGAAAUCAAUUAGGUUUUGCCACCCUAAUUGAACAUUAGUUUUCUACUGGUGAAUUAGGCUACCAAGGAGCAUCAAAAUGUUACCACUUCAACAAAAAAAUUCUUUCUUGAAUCGAGUGUUUACUAGGUACUACAAUAAACAGUUGCCUCAUGAAGCAAGAAAUUCAAGAGUUUGAUCUUUCUUCAGAAAAUCUAGGAAGUUGGACGAGUGAGUUUACACGAGUGACCCCUUCCAAACCUAACCAGUUUUGAUCUUCACCUGAUGCUGCUUCAUCUUCAACAUCGACAGACACUGCUCCGUUGGUCUCGUUUUCUUCUGAUGAUCUCACAGUAAAGUUCCUUCUCAAAGAUGGCUCUGACUUUUGUCCAUCAUCUGAUUCAACUGGAUUCCCAGAAUGAUGUGCUCCCACUACAGAAGCAGUCUAGAUUUGGAUAAGACCUAAGCUCUUUGUCCAUGGUCUUGUAUGCUUUUAUGAAAGCUUCUCUCCAAGUGGAGUUCAGUUUAUCCUCAGCAGAACAAUCCUUCUCAGACUCUCCACAGUCUGGUGUUAUGUUCCGUUUGAAGCAAGUUUUGUCUGACCUAUUUUGUUUCGAUUCAAGAGAAUGCCAAAAUGAAAGCAAUUUUACUGGCAAUGUAUCCCUCACUUUACGCGCAACCAGAUGACCUUGUGGACCAUGACCAUCGAAGACACCACAAAAUAUCGUAUCUUCGGACAU
rnacentral:lncRNA from 1 species